rnacentral:ribozyme from 11 species
ACCGAAAGAAAGAGAGAAAGGGAGGGAGAGAACGAAGUAAUCAAAUAACAUCUUUCACCUCUUUUGCCGUCCUUGUCUUUCUCCUUUCUUUUCUUUUCUUCGUUCAUCGCAGUUUCUCUUCUCUCGACUCGACAAGGAAGGCAUCAAUCACCGAAACAAACAAACAAACAAA